rnacentral:rRNA from 1 species
UACGUAGGGUGCAAGCGUUGUCCGGAAUUAUUGGGCGUAAAGAGCUUGUAGGCGGUUUGUCGCGUCUGCUGUGAAAUUUCGGGGCUCAACCCCGAACUUGCAGUGGGUACGGGCAGACUAGAGUGUGGUAGGGAGACUGGAAGUUCCUGGUGUAGCGGUGAAAUGCGCAGAUAUCAGGAGGAACACCGGUGGCGAAGGCGGGUCUCUGGGCCGAUACUGACGCUGAGGAGCGAAAGCGUGGGGAGCGAACAGG